rnacentral:rRNA from 1 species
GUAGGGUGCGAGCGUUGUCCGGAUUUAUUGGGCGUAAAGGGCUCGUAGGUGGUUGAUCGCGUCGGAAGUGUAAUCUUGGGGCUUAACCCUGAGCGUGCUUUCGAUACGGGUUGACUUGAGGAAGGUAGGGGAGAAUGGAAUUCCUGGUGGAGCGGUGGAAUGCGCAGAUAUCAGGAGGAACACCAGUGGCGAAGGCGGUUCUCUGGGCCUUUCCUGACGCUGAGGAGCGNAAGCGUGGGGAGCGAACAGGCUUAGAUACCCUGGUAGUCCACGCUGUAAACGGUGGGUACUAGGUGUGGGGUCCAUUCCACGGGUUCCGCGCCGUASUAACGCUUUAAGUACCCCGCC